UCCCAUGCUGAGGCCCAGACAGCCCAGAGAGCCUCUCUCAUUAGCAGAAUCUACCUGGAACCGACUGGCACAGAAAGGUGGGAAGUGGGCCUCCAGGAUUUGCCCCCGUGGACAAGGGGAGCAUGUUGAAGGCAGGCACAGAACUGAAUGGGGACACACAACAUCCAGGACACAGAGCUACUGCUAUUAUUAAUCUUUCCAUCAUACAGAAAGAAAAUUAAAGCUCAGGAGGAUCAACCAGCUGUGACUUGUCCGGGGUUUUAUAACAAGUUUGGAAUCUAAACUCAGGUUUUCAAGCCUGAAUCAUAACUGCACUGCAGGAAAACCCACAAGAUGUUGAAAUUUGGGAAUUAGACUAGACUGAUUUUUUUUUAAUAUGCAAAAAGGAGACUUUACAAAUCUCUGAAACUGACUAGAAACGCCAGCUUCCCUGAGACAUCGUCCAACUCUGGCGAAUGGAGAAUUGAAAGCAGGUUUGAAGAUCAUGUGGGUCAAAAAUAAAACUCUUUCCUGAUUAUACCCUCCCGGGUCCAUCCCCUCCCACAAACUGGAAACACAGACAUCAUCACCCCUGAUUCUCUCAAAAUAUGCCGAGGACUCUUACAGAGCGAGCGAGCCGGUGACCUGAAUAAAUGGGGCCCCGAGGAAAGUGCACGACGAUGACUGUAGAGUAAUAAUUAUGACAAUGGGAAGCUAAAACCUGCUAUUUUCAGGAUCUAUUUAAGAUUGUAAUUACUUGGUAAUGGAUGGGUUAUAAGACGAUUUUCGUAAUCAACUUAGGUAGGACAGGGUACAAAUCUUUGGUCUUAAUAUUAUA